CGCUGUGCCUUUCCUUUGAAGAUGGCGGAUUGCAGUCCGUACAGGGACGUCAGUUGCAGGAGAAUCUACUCUGUUAUAUGUAGCUCAGUGCUUAUUUAGUCAAGGCUGACCUAGAGAGUGGAGUGGAGUUUGCUGCGGCUGCGAACAAGACUCGGGCCACAGUGUUUACCUUGUGCCAGGUGAAGGAGGACGUACCCCUUUCGAUCGUGUCUGGAACCUCGAUCGCUUUAAAGGCUGCUGCUGCUGUGUUCGUGAUAAAUUGCAGAUGUGAGGCUGCAGUACGCCCUUCUUCGUGGCACAAAGUUAUUUUUCCUGUACAAAUAUUCAUGCAUGAAAGGGUACCAGCAUGCAGACUGGUAGGAGAGUAGCAGAGACUGAUAUGCAGUGGAACUACAGUUGAACUGUGUAUGCGUGUGCAGAAGAAACUUUUUUGUGCAAUGUAUUGCUCUUCCAUAUCCUGAGGGUAGGAUCUUCUAAGUUUACGCCCUCCUCUUAACUCCUGUGACAAUGGCUGAAGCAUUUUUCACUGCAAAUCUCCCAAAUCCUGAUGAAGCAAUGGAUGUUGGGAAAGAUUCUCCUUCUCCAAGUCCUGAAGAGAACAUUGCUGUUAAGGUUGAGAACAUUGCUGUUAAGGUGGAGGAUGAAGGGGAAUCAGGUUCUGAUAUCAAUAAUUGAAGAUGAAAAGUUUGCAUCAAGGUCGUCCUCACCUGACAUUGAAGUCGUGAAAGUGCUGAAGUGCUGCCACCACGCAUCACAGUUGAUCUCACAGGGGAUGAUGAUGAUGACACUGCAGUGAUUUGUGAUAGCCUUGAACAGUCUGAAGCUUCUGCUGCACCAGUUGUAGACUUAAGCAAUGAGGAAAAUGGUUACUGUGAGCCUUCGAGGGUGCAUCUGCAUCUGGAGCGGGAGUACGUAGACAAUUCAUCCUUCACAUUUUU